ACGGGUGAGUAAUACAUCGGAACGUAUCCUGGAGUGGGGGAUAGCCCGGCGAAAGCCGGAUUAAUACCGCAUACGCUCUGAGGAGGAAAGCGGGGGACCUUCGGGCCUCGCGCUCAAGGGGCGGCCGAUGGCGGAUUAGGUAGUUGGUGGGGUAAAGGCCUACCAAGCCGACGAUCCGUAGCUGGUCUGAGAGGACGACCAGCCACACUGGGACUGAGACACGGCCCAGACUCCUACGGGAGGCAGCAGUGGGGAAUUUUGGACAAUGGGGGCAACCCUGAUCCAGCAAUGCCGCGUGUGUGGAGAAGGCCUUCGGGUUGUAAAGCACUUUUGUCCGGAAAGAAAUCAUCGGGGCCAAUACCCCUGGUGGAUGACGGUACCGGAAGAAUAAGCACCGGCUAACUACGUGCCAGCAGCCGCGGUAAUACGUAGGGUGCGAGCGUUAAUCGGAAUUACUGGGCGUAAAGCGUGCGCAGGCGGUGCUGUAAGACCGAUGUGAAAUCCCCGGGCUUAACCUGGGAACUGCAUUGGUGACUGCAGCGCUGGAGUAUGGCAGAGGGGGGUGGAAUUCCACGU
rnacentral:rRNA from 1 species